rnacentral:rRNA from 1 species
GACGUAGGAUCCGAGCGUUGUCCGGAGUUACUGGGCGUAAAGCGCGCGCAGGCGGACACGCGCAUCGGCGGUGAAAGCCCCCCGCUCAACGGGGGAGGGUCCGUCGAGAUGGGCCGACUGGAGGCAGGGAGAGGGCGGUGGAAUUCCGGGUGUAGUGGUGAAAUGCAUAGAUAUGUCACAGAACACCAAUUGCGAAGGCAGCUUACUAAAGUUUAAUUGACGCUGAGGCACGAAAGCGUGGGGAUCAAACAGG